AAAUUACCCCCUUUGGUUUUGUACCAUGAAAAUGCAACUAAUCCUCGCCUUCCACAAACAGUGAUAAAGUUUUUUUUUUCCUUUGUAUUUCUCAAACAUUUUUCUCUCUACUAUCUUCUACCAACCUUAAUAUCCUAAAACCCUAAAUUUAUAUUCGAAAAACCCUAAAAUCAUCUCUCGUUUCACUUCGCGAUUUGCAGCAGCAAGAAGAAUGAGGCCUACAGCCUUGCUUGGUGUUCUGAACAAGCAGUUUCUUGGAAUCGCCAGUGACGCUGCGAAUGCUGUUGCUAAGAAGCUGACACCGUCUGCUUCUGUCAUGUCACGAAAACCGGCAUUUAUAGACGCAUUCCUGUACAAGAUGAAAAAGAACCCUGAACUUUUGAAGAACAAGACCAUUUGGUCACGGAGAUCCACCAUCUUGCCAGAAUUUGUUGAUUCCCAGGUCAAGAUUUACAAUGGGAAAACCACUAUUCGUUGUAAGAUCACCGAGGGAAAAGUGGGUCAUAAGUUUGGAGAGUUUGCACUCACUAGGAAACGCAAAAGUAGAGACCAACCUAAUGCCAAAGUUAAACAACUCAAGAAAAAGAAGUGAUUUUUUUAUAUGGUUUAUAUUAUGCAGUUAUUUACAACAAUGUGGAUAAAGAAUUUCAAGAUGGCGAUAUAGACUAUAGAGUGCUGUUGCUAUACAAGGAACUUUUCGGGUGUAUUCUAUACAAGGGAUUUGCGUGUGUUUGCACCGUUUUAAAUCAUAAUGGGUGGCAGGACAGCUAGAUGCUAUCAUGUGUAAUUAAUUGUUGGGUUCCUUUGAUACAAUGCCUUACUUGUGUAUGCAUGUAUGUUGUGCAUUGCUAAAUGAAACUCAUAAUGUCAAUGUCAUCACUAGAUUUAAACAACAUUGCAAUCAACAAUGAAAAUAGUUUGUAUGAAUUAUGAUGAAUUUAAAAGUGAUGACAUCUUUCUUUGUAAAAAGCUGAAGCAUACAAGAGCAAUCACUUGUGGCCGGUGUCUUUAGCGGGUGAAUGAGUCUAUCAUUCAUGUAACUCAAGUGUAGAACUCAAGUUUGUAGGGUGAAUUAUAAUCUUAUAGUCUUGUUUGAACA